rnacentral:rRNA from 1 species
CCUACGGGAGGCAGCAGUGAGGAAUAUUGGUCAAUGGUCGAGAGCCUGAACCAGCCAAGUCGCGUGCGGGAGGACUGCCCUAUGGGUUGUAAACCUCUUUUGUCCGGGGGCAAAAGCCGGACGUGUCCGGCUGUGAGAGUACCCGAAGAAAAAGCAUCGGCUAAUUCCGGGCCAGCGGCCGCGGUAAUACGGAGGAGGCGAGCGUUAUCCGGGUGUAUGGGGUUUAAAGGGGGCGCAGGCGGCCUGUUAAAGCAGCGGUAAAAGCCCGGGGGUAAACCCCGGAGAGCCGUGGAAACUGGCGGGCUGGAGUGGGAGAGAAGUAUGCGGAAUGCGUGGUGUAGCGGUGAAAUGCUUAGAUAUCGCGCAGAACCCCGAUUGCGAAGGCAGCGUACCGGCGCCCUACUGACGCUGAGGCACGAAAGCGUGGGUAUCGAACAGGAUUAGAUACCCGAGUAGUC